UCUGCACUGGCUGGUUUGUUAAUCAGCUGGGAUGUGGGGCCCUUCCAGAUGGAAGCUGGUGUUGAAUCAGAAGUGAGGUAGGUGCUGCCUCGAUUCCC